rnacentral:misc_RNA from 1 species
GAUGAAGAACGCAGCGAAAUGCGAUAAGUAAUGUGAAUUGCAGAAUUCAGUGAAUCAUCGAAUCUUUGAACGCACCUUGCGCCCUUUGGCUAUUCCGAAGGGCAUGCCUGUUUGAGUAUCAUGAACACCUCAACUCUCAUGGUUUGCCAUGAUGAGCUUGGACUUUGGGGGUCUUGUCGGCCUAUGGGUCGGCUCCUCUCAAAUUAAUCAGCUUGCCAGUGUUUGGUGGCAUCACAGGUGUGAUAACUAUCUACGCUUGUGGUUUUCCAUCAGGUAACCUUCAGUGAUGGAGGUUCGCUGGGGCUCAUAAAUGUCUCUCCUCAGUGAGGACAGCUUUUUUGAACGUUUGAUCUCAAAUCAGGUAGGACUACCCGCUGAACUUAAGCAUAUCAAUAAGCGGAGGA